CAAUGUGGGCGGACCCAAUCUUCGUGGCACUGGGGGCGGGACUGUAAGGUCCGACAGGAAAACUGAAGAAAGGCGAGGAUCUCCAAUAAAACGAUGGCUGCAAUCAGAAAGAAGCUGGUGAUCGUGGGUGAUGGAGCCUGUGGGAAGACCUGCCUCCUCAUAGUGUUCAGCAAA